GCCAUGCAGUCGACGGCAGCACGAGAGAGCUUGCUCUCUUGGUGGCGAGUGGCGGACGGGUGAGUAAUAUAUCGGAACGUGCCCAGUAGCGGGGGAUAACUACUCGAAAGAGUGGCUAAUACCGCAUACGCCCUACGGGGGAAAGGGGGGGAUUCUUCGGAACCUCUCACUAUUGGAGCGGCCGAUAUCGGAUUGGCUAGUUGGUGGGGUAAAGGCUCACCAAGGCAACGAUCCGUAGCUGGUUUGAGAGGACGACCAGCCACACUGGGACUGAGACACGGCCCAGACUCCUACGGGAGGCAGCAGUGGGGAAUUUAGGACAAUGGGGGAAACCCUGAUCCAGCCAUCCCGCGUGUAUGAUGAAGGCCUUCGGGUUGUAAAGUACUUUUGGCAGAGAAGAAAAGGUAUCUCCUAAUACGAGAUACUGCUGACGGUAUCUGCAGAAUAAGCACGGGCUAACUACGUGCCAGCAGCCGCG
rnacentral:rRNA from 1 species